UACGUAGGGUGCAAGCGUUGUCCGGAAUUAUUGGGCGUAAAGAGCUCGCAGGCGGCUUGUCACGUCGGGUGUGAAAGCCCGGGGCUUAACCCCGGGUCUGCAUUCGAUACGGGCUGGCUAGAGUGUGGUAGGGGAGAUCGGAAUUCCUGGUGUAGCGGUGAAAUGCGCAGAUAUCAGGAGGAACACCGGUGGCGAAGGCGGAUCUCUGGGCCAUUACUGACGCUGAGGAGCGAAAGCGUGGGGAGCGAACAGG
rnacentral:rRNA from 1 species